UGGGGAAUUUCCGCAAUGGGCGAAAGCCUGACGGAGCAAUGCCGCGUGGAGGUGGAAGGCCUACGGGUCGUCAACUUCUUUUCUCGGAGAAGAAACAAUGACGGUAUCUGAGGAAUAAGCAUCGGCUAACUCUGUGCCAA
rnacentral:rRNA from 1 species